rnacentral:rRNA from 1 species
GUGCCAGCAGCCGCGGUAAUACCUAGGUGGCAAGCGUUGUCCGGAAUUAUUGGGCGUAAAGCGCGCGCAGGCGGUCUCUUAAGUCUGAUGUGAAAGCCCCCGGCUCAACCGGGGAGGGUCAUUGGAAACUGGGAGACUUGAGUGCAGGAGAGGGAAGNGAAUUCCAUGUGUAGCGGUGAAAUGCGUAGAGAUAUGGAGGAACACCAGUGGCGAAGGCGGCUUCCUGGCCUGUAACUGACGCUGAGGCGCGAAAGCGUGGGGAGCAAACAGGAUUAGAUACCCUGGUAGUCCACGCCGUAAACGAUGAGUGCUAGGUGUUAGGGGGUUUCCGCCCCUUAGUGCUGCAGCUAACGCAUUAAGCACUCCGCCUGGGGAGUACGGUCGCAAGCAUGAAACUCAAAGGAAUUGACGG